UGAAAAGGGCUGACCCCAACAGUGAGUUAUGGAUGCCUAACCAUAACUCGCGGAUCUGCGAGGUCCACUUCGUAUCGGGCUGUCCAUCCAGCGACCCGGUAGACGUCGACUACAUUCCAUCGAAGUUCAGCCACGACGAGAGGAAGGCUCGAAAAGCUGACGAGAGACACGAAAGGAGCCAGCGCUACAUGUCCCUUGCUGCGAAAAGGGCGAGCAGCUUGUCAUCUGGGAGGAACGGUG